UACGAAGGGGGCUAGCGUUGUUCGGAAUUACUGGGCGUAAAGCGCACGUAGGCGGAUUUGUAAGUCAGGGGUGAAAUCCCGGGGCUCAACCUCGGAACUGCCUUUGAUACUGCAAGUCUUGAGUCCGGAAGAGGUGAGUGGAAUUCCUAGUGUAGAGGCGAAAUUCGUAGAUAUUAGGAAGAACACCAGUGGCGAAGGCGGCUCACUGGUCCGGUACUGACGCUGAGGUGCGAAAGCGUGGGGAGCAAACAGGG
rnacentral:rRNA from 1 species